GAGGGCUCCGGGGUCAGCCUGACCCUUCCCCACUCCAGGGGCUGCUCCCGGCGGCCGAGCGGGGGAGGGGGAUUGUACCGACUGGAACAAGGACACUAGCCCAGCAGCGAACCCGAGCAUGAGCGCUCCGCGCUGCUACCGUGAGAAGACCCCUGCGCUCGCGCCCGGAAGGGGCGGAGCGAGCGCCGAUCGUUGGGCUGAACCCUCAGCCCCUCCCCCGGCUCAGGCAGCACCUGCUGCCCGGACAGCGCGCGAGCGCCCAGCAGCGACACAGGCCCCGCCCCGCAGCCUUCAGGCCCCGCCCGUCUGCUGCUGGCCCCGCCGGGCGGCUCACCUGGCGCCCUAAGCAGUCACAGGGGGGCGCCGGUUGCGUUGCUCAGGUGGCCUUCGUCUCGCGAGUCCUUCCCCCGGCGCCGCCUGCUCCUGCUGCCCCUGCGCGGGGCUCGCGGCGAGGGGGGCCGGGCACAGAGUCCCCUCGGUCUCCCCCCGCCCCAAGUCCGCCGGGCGGCUCCCCCGGGCCCUCCCCGUCCUCUCGCUCAAGCGGGGCCUGGCCCCGCCCACAUCCAGCCCCUCAGCCCGGGGUGCGGGAGGGGCGAGGUGUGCUCCCGCGGCAGCCACAGGUACCCCCUGCCCGGCCCCUGGGGCGUAGCGCCUCCCUGCUGGCUGCUGCCUGCACGGCAUCCCUCCUAGCCUCGUGCCCCCAGAGCGCUUCUGCCCAGGGACAAGGCCUGAUUUGUGGCAAUACCUUGUCUUCCACCUCCUGAUAUCACCCAUGGAGCCCAUAACGGUCAGAGUGGACAAGAGUUUUCCUUUGGCUCAGCAGUAACUUACAGAUGUAACCAGGGCUUCUCUCUUGUUGGAGAGGCCUCCAUUUAUUGUAUAACAAAAGAUAAUGUCAAUGGAGAAUGGAGUGGGCCUGCCCCUGAAUGCAAAGUGGUUAAGUGUCCAGAGCCAGAAGUCAAAAAUGGAAAAAAGCAGUCUGGGUUUGGAUCUGACUAUUCAAAUGGAAACACCGUAAUAUUUGAAUGUGAUUCUGGCUACACUCUGAAUGGUAACAGUUCAGUUAAAUGUGAAGCUAACAAUUCAUGGGUUCCAUCUUUGCCCACCUGUCUACGAUACAUGACUGAUGCUGGCUGAUGGCUAUGGUUUACAAAUUAACAGACAUUGGAAGAAAAACAUGGAAAAUUUAGGAGAUAAAUGUCAUGCAUUUGUACUAAAAUUUCUGCCCUCUCAGGCAACUGGUGUUACUUUCACUACAACUUCUUUCCUCUGUUGAGCUGGACUUGUAGUAGGAAUCCACUGCAUUUGAGUAAAGCAGAAAGACAGGAGGUGAAUUAUUGCUCUUGCCCUUGAAAAUGGCUUCUGAAGCAAGCAAGGCAGUUGGCAGCAUCAAAAUUACUUGCUCUUCUGAAUAUGCAGCUGGUUCCUUAUUCAGCCUCUCCAUGGUGCUAAAUGUUUCCCCUUAAAGAACAUAGUCACCAUCAAAGCGUGGUAUGGUUUGGAUUGUGAGUUGUGGCUUUAACUGCAGACAGCAAGAGACACUGUUCAGAUCCCUGCCUACAAGCUGCCUUCAUCGAAUGCGUAUUACUCUUUAAACACAAAUUUAAAGAUGCCAGACACUAGGUGGAAUGUUGUAAAUUCUUCAUAAAAACAUCCAUACUGGGGCAGACCAAUGGUCCAUCUAGCCAGGUGCUUCAAAGGGAAUGAACAGGGCAGUUAUCGAGUGAUCCAUCAUCCCCUGUCAGCCAGGCCCAGCUUCUGGCAAUCAGAGAGUAGGGACACUCGGAGCAUGGGGUUCAGGGCCGGCUCCAGGCACCAGCCCACCAAGCUUGUGCUUGGGGCGGCACCUGAGGGGGGCGGCGCGGCGCUCCGGCCCCCGGGGACGAGCGGGGACACGGCCAGGCUCGCCACCCUCCCCCC